rnacentral:rRNA from 1 species
AACGAACGCUGGCGGCAGGCUUAAUACAUGCAAGUCGAGGGGUAGCAAGAUUGUAGCAAUACAAUUGUUGACGACCGGCAAACGGGUGCGGAACACGUACACAACCUUCCUACAAGUGGGGAAUAGCCCAGAGAAAUUUGGAUUAAUACCCCGUAACAUAGCGAUGUGGCAUCACAUUGCUAUUAUAGCUUCGGCGCUUGUUGAUGGGUGUGCGGCUGAUUAGAUAGUUGGCGGGGUAACGGCCCACCAAGUCUACGAUCAGUAGCUGAUGUGAGAGCAUGAUCAGCCACACGGGCACUGAGACACGGGCCCGACUCCUACGGGAGGCAGCAGUAAGGAAUAUUGGACAAUGGACGCAAGUCUGAUCCAGCCAUGCCGCGCGAAGGAUUAAGGUCCUCUGGAUUGUAAACUUCUUUUAUAAGGGACGAAAAAAGGUCUUUCUAGAUCGUCUGACGGUACCUUAUGAAUAAGCACCGGCUAACUCCGUGCCAGCCGCCGCAGUAACAC